rnacentral:lncRNA from 1 species
AAUGAAUCUGCGGGUUGACGGAGCUCUCGUCCCGAUCUAUUUCAAAUGGUACGGUAAGUGAGAACAAAAAAAAUAUAGAAAAAUAUAAUUCACCCUAAAUCCCCUCCCAUCCGUCAAAUUAAUAGAGCGGGAGGCGGGACACCUCUUUCUUCCCUCAAUUCAUCUCAAUUCAUCAAAACUUCGUAAAAAAUUUGCUCCUGUCCUGAUUCGCCUCUAAUGGAGCAAUAAAUGACGACAGAAAAUAGAAUUUAAAUCAACCCACCCCAAAUCCGUCCCACACUGACAAGAAAUGGAGUGGGAGGUAGGAGAUUGCUCCCGCCCCUGGAUUCGCCCGGUUUGCAUCUCUGGCUGGGUUGUUAAACGCUGUUUAGUUCAUGCGUACACAAAAACAUACUCUCGUUGAGUUAUAACUUCAUGAGAAUUCAUUGUGGUUGUACGAGAAUUUAUAGUUGAUGUCGGGGCUUCACUUGUUUUGCGGAUUAUGGUUAUGUGAUUAAUUUGUUACUUUUUUUUGGUGUGAAAAUCAAAAAUUGAAAAAUCUAUAAAUUUUAAGUUAAGCUUUAAAUUGAUACUUCGUAUUCAUUAAAUUUUUUUAAAAAUGGAGAAAGAACAAAUAAAAAGUAAGGGAAAACUGAAGAAGAUGAAGGGGAAAAUAUAGAUUUUUAAAAGAUAGGAGAGGAUAUUGAAAAAUCGAGUUUUGAUAGGAAGAUGAAAGUGAAGUGGCGUUCUCUUUAAAAUUUGGCGUAAUAUAAAACAAAAUCGAUAUUGCUAAAUCUAUGUUUGAUAUU